UAGACGGCGUACGUAGAAGACGUGUUUUGAUCUGGAGCGAUCGUUUACCCCGCCACGGUCGACAAAGACUAUACUUGGAAGAAUCAUGUUUUUCACACGGCCAACUCUACGUGGGAUGUUCAAGAGUGGAGAGCAAGGACAGUCUUUUCGCGUACACUCUAAAUGGAAAAACAAAAAGCAUUGUCUACAAUGAGGUAUUGCACCAGUGAUUAUUACCAACUGCUGUCGACUUUACCAAUGUAAAUAGUGAACUGAUUUGACAACAAAAAGUCAUGGAACAACAAAAUAAUUCCGCCAUUGUUGUUUUGGCGUGUGCUGGGCACACUGCCAAUAAAAUUGCUAAGUUGACAAAACUUCCAAAAGCAACAGGUUAUAGUGUGUAUAAGCAAUUUAAAGAAGAGGGAAAAAUUGAUAGAAAAGAAUACAAAACUCAAAGUGAUUCCAAGCACAAUCCAAAGUUUCUUGCUGGCUUCAAACGCUUGAUUGAGGCCAACUCAUCCACAUCCAUGAUAACUCUUGCAAAGAAAUGCAAUGUGUCCUUUUUCUAUGGUGUCCAGAGCUGUGAACAGAAACCUUGACAUGAUUAGCUAUGUUCAACAAUGCUGCCACCUCCUAACAGCUAGAGCCAAAACAAUUAGAGCUAAGAGAUGCCCAAAGCUUCUGUCAUUCAUCAAACAUCAAGAUGCAGGAAAAACUCUCAUGUUUGUGGACGAGAAGUUCAUUGUAGACGCUGAGGUGAAUCGCAGAAAUUCUCGAAUGAUUGCAUAGAACCCUUCUAACGUCCCCGCUGUGUUUGAGACUAAGAAUCAUGCCUUUGUGGUGGUAUUUGGGGCUGUAGCAAGUGAUUGAAGUAUCAUGGAUCCACACUUCAUUGAGUCUGGCUUGAAGAUCGGCGCAAAGGAGGAUCUGGACAUCCUGAAGCAUUGUCUGUUACUUUGGAUGGAGCAGAAGUUUUUGCUUGGCAAUGAAGUGCUUAUCUACACCAUGCCAUAGGUCAAAAGCACCACAGGUCUUCCUUUGUGAGAAGGUGCCAUUUUUCUUGAGGGCUAGCAUCUGGCCCAGUAAUAGCCCACAUCUCAACCUUCUCGAUUACUUUUUAUGGAGCAUACAUCAAGCAACAAACCAAUUCUUCACUACACAUGAGUGUAAAUAGCUUGAAGACCUGCAUCAUGCGUGCGACACACUAAAUCAAAAAGAUGGAGGUUGUGACAGCUGCAAAAAAAUUUCGUUCUCAUAUGGGGGCAGUAAUUGUCCAAAAGGGCAGCCGU